rnacentral:rRNA from 1 species
CCUAAUACAUGCAAGUCGAACGAAACUUCUUUAUCACCGAGUGCUUGCACUCACCGAUAAAGAGUUGAGUGGCGAACGGGUGAGUAACACGUGGGCAACCCGCCCAAAAGAGGGGGACAACACUUGGAAACAGGUGCUAAUACCGCAUAACCAUAGUUACCGCAUGGUAACUAUGUAAAAGGUGGCUAUGCUACCGCUUUUGGAUGGGCCCGCGGCGCAUUAGCUAGUUGGUGGGGUAAAGGCUUACCAAGGCAAUGAUGCGUAGCCGAACUGAGAGGUUGAUCGGCCACAUUGGGACUGAGACACGGCCCAAACUCCUACGGGAGGCAGCAGUAGGGAAUCUUCCACAAUGGGCGAAAGCCUGAUGGAGCAACGCCGCGUGGGUGAAGAAGGUCUUCGGAUCGUAAAACCCUGUUGUUAGAGAAGAAAGUGCGUGAGAGUAACUGUUCACGUUUCGACGGUAUCUAACCAGAAAGCCACGGCUAACUACGUGCCAGCAGCCGCGGU